GAUGAACGCUGGCGGCAUGCCUAAUACAUGCAGGUCGAGCGAACAGACGAGGAGCUUGCUCCUCUGACGUUAGCGGCGGACGGGUGAGUAACACGUGGAUAACCUACCUAUAAGACUGGGAUAACUUCGGGAAACCGGAGCUAAUACCGGAUAAUAUAUUGAACCGCAUGGUUCAAUAGUGAAAGACGGUUUUGCUGUCACUUAUAGAUGGAUCCGCGCCGCAUUAGCUAGUUGGUAAGGUAACGGCUUACCAAGGCGACGAUGCGUAGCCGACCUGAGAGGGUGAUCGGCCACACUGGAACUGAGACACGGUCCAGACUCCUACGGGAGGCAGCAGUAGGGAAUCUUCCGCAAUGGGCGAAAGCCUGACGGAGCAACGCCGCGUGAGUGAUGAAGGUCUUCGGAUCGUAAAACUCUGUUAUUAGGGAAGAACAAAUGUGUAAGUAACUAUGCACGUCUUGACGGUACCUAAUCAGAAAGCCACGGCUAACUACGUG
rnacentral:rRNA from 1 species